ensembl:lncRNA
AUCUUAGUGGAUUUCAGGGAUUAGAUUUAUAUCUUUUUGCUGCUGUUCCCCAUUUUCCACUGUGCUACCUCAGCAUGUGGGAUUUGUGUGUAGCACAGCAGAUCUCAAGAUGACUGGAUUUUAUACUGGGUUUGUGGAAGCCGUGCUCUGUAGAUGUUAUUUCUGACUGUAUUAUAGGCAUUUAUUUACAUCACUUAUGAUUUCAUGUCGUCACAUGGAUCUUUUUGUCGGGAAAAGCUAUAAGCCGAUGCCCAGAACUGUCUUUUUUCUUCAUACAUCAUCUUUCUUCACUAACUUGAAGCUUGGAGGAUGCAAAUUAUUGACUUUUAAACUCCUUUACUGAGAGCUUUACCACCUAUACUUUUUUACAAGGAUUCAUGGAACAUUAAGAUGCAGUCGAUGCAUAUAACACUGGUGCUUUAAAUGUUCUUUGCUGGUGUUUUGCAGUUGUUGAGACUCAAGUUGCAAUAUAUAGGAUAAAAGAUAUUUCCAUCAAACUUCUACCUUCAGGCUCUUUUGUUUUAUCUCCCCCCCCACUGAACUUAUCAGGUGGGGGGGGAAGGGGUAAGGCCCAAACCAUGGAGUCCAACCCAGACAGCCCGAGUCGGGCUGUGGAGUAUCUUCUGGAGCUCAAUAACAUCAUCGAGAACCAGGCCAAACUUCUAGAGACACAGCGUAAACGUAUCGAGGAGCUCCAAACGCAGCUAGACCGGGUCAACCAGGAGAACCAGGACCUGCGGCAGGACCGAAACCCGGGAACCGAGAACUCGACGCAGAACCACAACUACAACCAGAGCUCUAAGCCCAGCCAGCCAUCAUCACUACCAAACCACAGUGCUGGAGGUGUCCAUCAGAACAGCAGCAGUAAUAUACCCUCAUCCACGGUGCCUGGUCCAGCUCGACGGAAUCACAGCAGACUGACCCGAGGCCUGUCAUGUGGGUCAGCCCCUGUCGAGGAGAGAGGCCGACUGGAGCGAAAUGACAGCUCUGGGACCAACAACACCUCCACUCUACGGAAACAUGAGGAGGAAACCCAGAGUUCAGCUUCACGUCCCUUUUCAGACAGUUCCAAUAGUAAAUCUCCUUACGUGCACAGCUCUGACCGUUACGGGGACAACAGCUGUGGCCCCCCAGGCCCUCGGGUGCCUUUUGUGCUCCCUCCAAGCCCAGCCAGCCUCGCCUGGGCACAGCGUACACGCAACCAACCAGCUAGCCUGGCCCUACGUAAACAAGAGGAAGAAGAGAACAAGAGGUGCAAAGCCCUAUCAGACAGUUAUGAACUCUCUACAGACCUACAAGACAAGAAGGUGGAGAUGCUGGAGAAGAAAUAUGGAGGUUACUUCGUAAGUAGACGAGCAGCACGUACCAUCCAGACAGCAUUCCGUCAAUAUCGUAUGAACAAGAACUUUGAGCGCCUGCGCAGCUCAGCUUCCGAGAGCCGCAUGACACGGCGCAUCAUCCUUUCCAACAUGCGACUGCAGUACUCGUUUGAUGACCGACAGCCUCAACCUCCCACCCCAACUCACUACAGUCACAGUCCAGGAAUGGGUCCUCCGCAUUCUCCAACCUGCACCACAGAGCCAAGCUCCCCAUCACAACCGGAAUACACCCACCUAGAGGACUCCUUCUCAAAACAAGUCAGUACCCAUGGUGUUGUUGAUGACUUUGGUGAGUGGGGCUUGAGUAUGCAUGAAGACAGCACAGCCACCUCCUACAGUGAUGUUACACUUUACAUGGACGACGGUCUACCUUCCUCACCGCUUUCUCUAGAUCGGGCCCCUAGCAGCACAGACACUGAGUUCUGGGGGGGUGUUGGAAGUGGAGUAGGUGGUAGGGAAGACAGCCGUGACACAGAAGGAGGAGGAAGCAGCAAUAGCCGCCGAAGCACACCUUGCACAGAGUGCCGUGAUUACCGUUUACGGGGAGGGCACUUACCGUUACUUACGAUUGAACCACCUAGUGACAGUUCAGUGGACAUGAGUGACCGCUCAGACCGAGGCUCCCUUAGCAGACAACUAGUCUUUGAGCAGGACUCAGCAGGAGGAUCACCUCAAGGGACACUAAAGCAUAAUCCUAAUGCUCGUUCGACAUCCUCGACAGCUGCACAAGGUCAAACACGUCCACCCCCAACCACACCGCUCUCAUCCUCCUCUUCAGCACCACUGCCUCCUGGUGGCUUGGAGCAGCAAUGCUGCUCGGAUGGUGAUAAUGACUCACUGAAUUCCACCACAAACUCUAAUGAGACCAUUAAUUGCAGCUCAGGCUCCUCUUCAAGGGAUAGUCUGCGGGAGCCCUUGCCCCCAUUAGGGAAACAGACCUACCAGAGAGAAAGUCGGCACAGCUGGGACUCUCCUGUCUUUAACACUGACGUAGUGCAAAGAAGACAAUAUCGCAUCGGACUCAACCUCUUCAACAAGAAACCAGAAAAGGGUAUUCAGUACCUAAUUGAGAAGGGCUUUGUGUCAGACACGCCAGUGGGCAUUGCUCGCUUUAUCCUGGAGAGAAAAGGCCUGAGUCGGCAGAUGAUUGGAGAGUUCCUUGGAAAUAGACAGAAACAGUUCAACAAAGAUGUAUUGGAUUGUGUUGUGGAUGAAAUGGACUUUUCCGGAAUGGAUCUUGAUGAUGCUCUGAGGAAAUUUCAAGCUCAGAUAAAAGUCCAAGGAGAGGCUCAAAAAGUGGAAAGACUUAUUGAGGCUUUCAGUCAGAGGUACUGUGUUUGUAAUCCAGCACUGGUAAGACAGUUCCAGAACCCAGACACCAUCUUCAUCCUAGCUUUUGCCAUCAUCCUCCUCAACACAGACAUGUACAGCCCCAAUAUCAAAGCAGAGAGGAAGAUGAAGCUGGAUGACUUCAUCAAAAACUUAAGAGGGGUGGAUAAUGGGCAGGACAUCCCACGUGACUUACUGGUUGGAAUCUACCAGCGCAUUCAGAAAUGGGAACUGAGAACCAAUGAUGACCAUGUUUCUCAGGUCCAGGCGGUGGAGAGAGUAAUAGUGGGCAAGAAACCAGUUCUGUCUCUGCCCCACCGCAGACUAGUGUGCUGCUGUCAGCUCUAUGAAGUCCCGGACCCCAACCGUCCUCAAAGGUCUGGAGUUCACCAGAGAGAGGUCUUCCUCUUCAACGAUCUGAUUGUGGUUACAAAGAUCUUCCAGAAGAAGAAAACCUCUGUAACAUACAGUUUCAGACAGUCCUUCCCUCUGGUGGAGAUGCAGGUUCACAUGUUCCAGAACUCCUACUAUCCUCAUGGUGUCAGACUAACAUCAGCUAUCCCAGGUGGUGAGCGUAAAGUUUUGAUUGUGUUCAUGGCCCCUAGUCAACAGGACCGCACACGCUUUGUCAGUGAUCUGAGAGAGAGCAUUGCUGAGGUCCAGGAAAUGGAGAAAUACAGAGUGGAGUCUGAGCUGGAGAAGCAGAAAGGAGUAAUGCGGCCCAGCCUGCUCACCAACAGCAUUAUGGCUGGAGGAGUGGGUGGGGUCAAGAAUGAAGUGGUGAAUGGCACUAUGGGAAGGCCUAGUCUGGAUGACAACUAUUCACCAGGAGAGGGCCUCAAACGUACUGCUCUCAGCUCCUCCCUGAGGGACCUGUCUGAAUCAGGUGAGACACUUUGCUGUGAUUGGCAACCAAUUUAUUUAUGA